AUUGAACGCUGGCGGCAGGCCUAACACAUGCAAGUCGAGCGGAUGAAGGGAGCUUGCUCCUGGAUUCAGCGGCGGACGGGUGAGUAAUGCCUAGGAAUCUGCCUGGUAGUGGGGGAUAACGUCCGGAAACGGGCGCUAAUACCGCAUACGUCCUGAGGGAGAAAGUGGGGGAUCUUCGGACCUCACGCUAUCAGAUGAGCCUAGGUCGGAUUAGCUAGUUGGUGGGGUAAAGGCCUACCAAGGCGACGAUCCGUAACUGGUCUGAGAGGAUGAUCAGUCACACUGGAACUGAGACACGGUCCAGACUCCUACGGGAGGCAGCAGUGGGGAAUAUUGGACAAUGGGCGAAAGCCUGAUCCAGCCAUGCCGCUUGUGUGAAGAAGGUCUUCGGAUUGUAAAGCACUUUAAGUUGGGAGGAAGGGCAGUAAGUUAAUACCUUGCUGUUUUGACGUUACCAACAGAAUAAGCACCGGCUAACUUCGAG
rnacentral:rRNA from 1 species